rnacentral:miRNA from 1 species
UCUGCAACUCUUCAUUCUUGUC